CUAUGCUCACACCAUCCUGAAUGCCCCUGAUCUUAUCCAUUCUUGGAAGCUAAGCAGGGUCGGGCCUGAUCAGUACUUGGAGGGGAGACAGCAGAGAUGAACUCCUGCUAAAGCAUUUG
rnacentral:rRNA from 1 species